rnacentral:rRNA from 1 species
UACGUGAGGGUGCGAGCGUUGUCCGGAAUUAUUGGGCGUAAAGGGCUCGUAGGCGGUUUGUCGCGUCGGGAGUGAAAUCCACUGGCUUAACUGGUGGCUUGCUUUCGAUACGGGCAGACUGGAGGUAUGCAGGGGAGAACGGAAUUCCUGGUGUAGCGGUGAAAUGCGCAGAUAUCAGGAGGAACACCGGUGGCGAAGGCGGUUCUCUGGGCAUGUCCUGACGCUGAGGAGCGAAAGCGUGGGGAGCGAACAGG